rnacentral:precursor_RNA from 9 species
CAUUGUGUCCUCUUACUGGGCGUCACUGGAGCUGGCUUACCGUCUAGUGCAUGUAAUGUGAAAUCAUGACUAGACUGGUAACCUGCUCUAGUUUCGUUCCUUUAGUUCCCUCCAGUGU